CAACCAAUCGCGAGCGUGCGAGACAGAGAAAGGUACUCCGGCACCUUAAUAUUCCCCUCUCUGUGCCGUUUUCCACUUACACGAAAGGGUAUACAAGGCUUCCUCCAUACUGUAUAUGCUCUAAGAUGCAAAAAUGAUCG